UUCUUAUUCAUGCUAGUCGAGCGGACGGAUGAGGAGCUUGCUUUUUGUUGUUAUCGGGGGACGGGGGAGAAAAGGAGGGGGACCUGCCUGUAAGACUGGGAAACUCCGGGAAACCGGGAAUAAUACCGGAUGGUUGUCUGAAACGCAUGGUUUCACAUAAAAGGAGGCUUCGGCUACCACUUACAGAUGCUCCUGAAGGGAAUUAUCUAUUUGGUGAGGUAACGGCUCUCCAAGGGGACAAUACGUCUCCGACCUGAGAGGGUGAUCGCCCAGCUGGGACUGAGACACGGCCCUCACUCCUACGGGAGGGAGCAGGGGGAAUCUUCCGCAAUGGACAAAAGUCCGACGGACCAACCCCGCGUGAGUGAUGAAGGUGUUCGGAUCGUCCAGCUCUGUUGUUUGGGAAGAACAAAUGCCGUUCAAAUAAUGCGGCACCUUGACGGUACCUAACCACAAAGCCACGGCUAACUACAUGCCGCCACCCCCGGUAAUACUUAGGUGGCAAGCGUUGUCCGGAAUUAUUGGGGGUAAAGGGCUCGCAGGCGGUUUCUUUUUUCUGAUGUGAAAACCCCCGGCUCCCCCCGGGAGGGGCAUUGUAAACUGUGGAACUUGAGUGUUCAAGAGAAGAGAGGAAUUCUUCGUGCCUCGGUGAGAUGCGUGCAGAUGUGGAGAGAACACCAGUGGAAAGAGCGAUGCUCUGGUCUGUAACUGACGCUGAUGAGCGAAAGUGUGGGGAGCGAACAUGAUUAUAUACCCU
rnacentral:rRNA from 1 species